UGAAGACUAUGUGGAGAAAUUCUGGCUGAAAACUUCCCAAACCUGAAGAAGGAAACUAAUAUCCAGGUACAGGAUUCACAGAGGACCCCAAACAAGAUGAACCCAAACAGACCCACACCAAGAUAUAUCAUAAUUAAAAUAGCAAAAGAUAAAAAAAAAUUCUAAAGGCAACAAGAGAAAAACAAAAAGUCAUAUACAAGG